rnacentral:snRNA from 1 species
UUACUUACUUGGCUUGGGAGAUACCAUGAUCACAAAGGUGGUUUUCCCAGGGCGAGGCUUAUCCAUUGCACUCCAGAUGUGCUGACCCCUGCGAUUUCCCCAACUGUGGGAAACUCGACUGCAUAAUUUGUGGUAGUGGGGGACUGCAUUCCCGCCCCCCCCCA